CUUGCUGCCAAGGGACGUUGUGGACUGAGAAGGCUUCCGAAGGAAGGGGAUUGUGGGGAAAGGGGACAGGGAGAGGGCGGAGCCAGAAAGAGGAAAGCAUCCAUUUGGGAGGAAGGGAGGGGAGGAGCUCACCUGUCCCUUAAGCCCUGGCUCGCCUGACAGGCCCUGCAAGCAGAGGAAGAGUGGUCAGGAUGUGGUGGGGGAACCCAGGCCACGCACACACUCCACACUCCUGUCCCGCUCCGGGGCCCUGCUCACCUUCUCUCCUUUCUCUCCUGGGAGGCCGGCCACCCCCGGGUCACCCUACAGAAAGAGAACCUUGUGUCAAGAGCCAACCAUGAUGGCGACGAAGCGGGGCGCAGGAUCUACGUUCAUUUGAGGGCUUGUCAGAAAGGACCCAGUGCCAGCUGCUGCAAGGAUCCUUCGGGAGGGACCAUUUACCUUCUCUCCCAUGAUGCCCUGUGGACCAGUUUCUCCUCGAGGCCCUGGCUCCCCCUGGGAGGAGAAAGGAAGGGAUUUGUUUCUCUGGACUCCAGACCACAUCCUGUUUCUAUCAAGCCAGGAUCAGGGCAAGGUGGUGGCAGAAGGUGGUUUGACCUAAGGGACUUGUGUCAAGCCUUAAGUAAGCACUGGGCCUCACAAUCCUUAAGGCAAGCUUCCUUUCUCACUCCCUGGUCCCCUUAUUGAAAUGGAACAGAUUCUCCUGGCGGAAGGGGACGGGGUCUCCUCACCUUGUCUCCGGGGCCUCCUUUUGUUCCAGGCUGACCUGGCACACCCUAAAGAAAAAUAUCAGUGUUGGUUUCUGCCCGGCAUGGGGAGAUGGGUGUGCUUGGCACGUUGCCUCUGUGCCCAGUCCAGAUUUUCUCCCCCUUGUGGAAACCGAACAACCAAAGGUCCAGCCGUGGUACCGUGAACUUGGCUUCCCAACUUUGCUAUUGGAAGAGUGGGUUUGGACAAUGGCCUGUCUAUCAGUGUCCACCGUCAUGGGGGAAGAGUGGCACACCAUGAACUCAAGUCUACACACGCACAGAGAAGCGAGCUUUGACUGGUCCAUGCCCUCAGGAAGGAGAAGGGUGGGCACCCCACUCCUGAAGUGUGGAGUGUUGUGGGGGUCACUGAAUGCCAAGAUGAGCUACUAAAGUCAAAGGUUACAGCUCCCCCUUUUCAACUGUUUUCUCGUUACUGUGUACCUCAAGUAAUGAAUAACUGCAGAAUGGCUAAACAGUGAAUUUCCUAGAGGCACCGGGGAGCCUGGAGGGAUUAGCAGAGAAAUGGUUAGGCUCCACUCAGACAAUGUGGAGGAUGUGUAACAACGAAAGAGAAGACUAAAAUACCUGUCCAAAGUUGAGGCUGCCUACCCCAAGCCAGGAGCUGCACAGACAGUGACCAGGUGAUGUAGUGACAGGGCCAGAGCUUGGGUGCAAUUUUUACCUCAUCAGCCCCUCACACUCCCAGAGGGAAACAGCAGAGUGGCUGGCUCUCUGAGGCCCAGGAGGAUCAACUUGCCCGUGGGCAGCCUGAGUGGCUUCCACUGACACUCACCGCUAAGCCCUGGUGGCCUGGGCUUCCUGGCCGUCCCACCUGUCCUGCACUGCCCUAGAGACACAAACAACCAGAAACACAGAUGAGAACCCCAGUCUGAGGUCUCAUGGCUCCCACCUAAGUGCAGGCAGAGAAGCAGACCCAGAAGCAAGAAGACCUGCUGGAAACAGACUGAGAACUGCUGGUUCUGAAGCCUCUAGGAUUGGUGUGGCAGGGCUCAAAGGCCUGAGAAGGAGCAGGCCUGACCCUGCCCAGUCCCACAAGUGCUUCCUACUCUUACCUUCAUGCCAGGUAUGCCCGGGGUCCCAUCCUUGCCAUCAAUGCCUGGUGGACCCUGCUCAGGAAGAGAAGUCAAGGGAGUCUCACGAUGAGUCAAGCCACCCACCCUGUGAUAUGAGCCUCUGUGAUAGCCACACUGUACAAGCAGAGGGGCUCUGAUCAUCUCAGGAAAUGCCAGCCCACAGGAGACAGGGUUAAAAAGGGCAAGCCACACUGUUCCUUGGUGUGUGGAUGACCACUCAGAUGGCUCAAGCUUCCCACUGUCCCUCCACACAAACCCCCACUACUUGCAGCUGUGAAGAUACCCUCAGACUGUUAACCGGUCAGGUUACAGAGCUAGCAGCCCACCACAGAGUUCAGUCUAGACCCCAGUUUCCUCUCCAUGUAGGGAUGCAGACAAACUGGUCAGGGCCAGGGCCUGGACUCUGAGCACUUACAGUUGUUCCCUUUGGGCCUGUUAUCCCCUGGGGUCCUCGGGCACCUUGGCUCCCCUGCAAAGUAGAUAGAGAGGAGGUCACCUUUAGGAUGCUGAGCCUAGCCAUUAGGCUGUAGAGAGAGAGGAAGGCACAGCUGAGACAAUGGUCCCAGAGUCCGGUGGCAUGGGCCAGACUCGGAGGCUGAAUGGGACUCGCUCAAGAUGUACACCUGAGGGAAGGAUGUCCAGAUCACCACUAAGCAUCCAGACAGGGAGGGCAGUGCGGUGGUUCCUGAGAGCCCCAGGCCUUCACAGUCAGUGGUUACUCAGGUAAAGAAACAGUUACCAAGAGUGGUGGGUGGGCUUCAUAUUGGGUGGGGGGAGGGUAUCUUGAUUUGAAUAAGAGCUCUGAAGAUAGUUUGGGGGAAACUAGGAUAAGCUAAAGACGGAUUAGCUGCUUGGUGAUGCUAAAGUAACUGCACCCCUCAUAGUUUUCCUUUUGAUCAUUUGUUUAUUCCUGCAGGCAUGCUUGUGGAGGUCAGAGGACAGCUUUAAGGGGUCAGUUCUCUCGUUCCACCAUGCAGACUAUCAGUCCUCGUGAUGGGUGCUUUUACCCUCUGAGCCAUCUCACCAGCCCUCUUUCCCCAGUUCCAAUAACAAUAUGAUUCUGUGAGGAAACAUCUUUAAUUUUUAGAGAUAAAUUCAGAAGUGUGUGGAGGCAACUGAGACAAGUAUCUCUGAGAAUGUCAGAGCCGGGAAGCAGAGGCCGGCAGAUCUCUGAGUUCCAGGCCAGCCUGGUCUACAGAGUGAGAUCCAGGACAGCCAGGAAUACACAGAGAAACCCUGCCUCAAAAAACCAAAACAAAGAAAAAG